AACACCAUUGAGCUCGACCUCAGAUCAGGUAGGAGUACCCGCUGAACUUAAGCAUAUCAAUAAGCGGAGGAAAAGAAACCAACAGGAUUGCCCCAGUAGCGGCGAGUGAAGCGGCAAGAGCUCAGAUUUGAAAUCGUGCUAAUUUUUUUGGCACGAGUUGUAGAGUGUAGGCGGGAGUCUUUGUGGAGCACGGUGUCCAAGUCCCUUGGAACAGGGCGCCUGAGAGGGUGAGAGCCCCGUGGGGUGCCGUGCGAAGCUUUGAGGCCCUGCUGACGAGUCGAGUUGUUUGGGAAUGCAGCUCCAAGUGGGUGGUAAAUUCCAUCUAAGGCUAAAUACUGGCGAGAGACCGAUAGCGAACAAGUACUGUGAAGGAAAGAUGAAAAGCACUUUGAAAAGAGAGUGAAACAGCACGUGAAAUUGUUGAAAGGGAAGGGUAUUGGGCCCGACAUGGGGAGUGCGCACCGCUGUCUCUUGUAGGCGGCGCUCUGGGCGCUCUCUGGGCCAGCAUCGGUUCUUGCUGCGGGAGAAUGGGUGCCGGAAAGUGGCUCUUCGGAGUGUUAUAGCCGGCGCCAGAUACCGCGUGCGGGGACCGAGGACUGCGGCUUCUGUCUCGGAUGCUGGCACAACGGCGCAAUACCGCCCGUCUUGAAACAUGGACCAAGGAGUCUAACGUCUAUGCGAGUGUUUGGGUGUAAAACCCGUACGCGUAAUGAAAGUGAACGUAGGUCGGACCCCGUU
rnacentral:rRNA from 1 species